rnacentral:rRNA from 1 species
UGGGGAAUCUUGGACAAUGGGCGCAAGCCUGAUCCAGCCAUGCCGCGUGGAUGAUGAAGGCCUUAGGGUUGUAAAAUCCUUUCGCCGAGGACGAUAAUGACGGUACUCGGAGAAGAAGCUCCGGCUAACUUCGUGCCAGCAGCCGCGGUAAUACGUAGGGACCAAGCGUUGUUCGGAUUUACUGGGCGUAAAGGGCGCGUAGGCGGCAUGACAAGUCACUUGUGAAAUCUCUGGGCUUAACCCAGAACGGCCAAGUGAUACUGUCGCGCUAGAGUGCAGAAGGGGCAAUCGGAAUUCUUGGUGUAGCGGUGAAAUGCGUAGAUAUCAAGAGGAACACCUGAGGUGAAGACGGGUUGCUGGGCUGACACUGACGCUGAGGCGCGAAAGCCAGGGGAGCAAACGGGAUUAGAUACCCAUGUAGUCCCUGAGCGGGCUGGCAAGGCGCAU